rnacentral:rRNA from 1 species
UACGUAGGGGGCAAGCGUUGUCCGGAUUUAUUGGGCGUAAAGAGCGUGUAGGCGGCCGUACAGGUCAGCUGUGAAAACUCGAGGCUCAACCUCGAGACGUCGGUUGAAACCGUACGGCUAGAGUCCGGAAGAGGAGAGUGGAAUUCCCGGUGUAGCGGUGAAAUGCGCAGAUAUCGGGAGGAACACCUGUGGCGAAAGCGGCUCACUGGACCACAACUGACGCUGAUGCGCGAAAGCUAGGGGAGCAAACAGG